GUUCGAUUCCCUAUUGAGUUCAAUACAUUUAGUUCGAUUCCCUACUGAGUUCAAUACAUUUAGUUGAUUCCCUAUUGAGUUCAAUACAUUUAGUUCGAUUCCCUACUGAGUUCAAUACAUUUAGUUGAUUCCCUACUGAGUUCAAUACAUUUAUUCGAUUCCCUACUGAGUUCAAUACAUUUAGUUGACUCCCUAUUGAGUUCAAUACAUUUAGUUGAUUCCCUACUGAGUUCAAUACAUUUAGUUCGAUUCCCUAUUGAGUUCAAUACAUUUAGUUCGAUUCCCUACUGAGUUCAAUACAUUUAGUUGACUCCCUAUUGAGUUCAAUACAUUUAGUUGAUUCCCUACUGAGUUCAAUACAUUUAGUUGAUUCCCUAUUGAGUUCAAUACAUUUAGUUCGAUUCCCU
rnacentral:lncRNA from 1 species